rnacentral:rRNA from 1 species
GACGAACGCUGGCGGCGUGCUUAACACAUGCAAGUCGAGCGAUGAAGUUCCUUCGGGAACGGAUUAGCGGCGGACGGGUGAGUAACACGUGGGUAACCUGCCUCAUAGAGGGGAAUAGCCUUCCGAAAGGAAGAUUAAUACCGCAUAAGAUUGUAGUUUCGCAUGAAAUAGCAAUUAAAGGAGUAAUCCGCUAUGAGAUGGACCCGCGUCGCAUUAGCUAGUUGGUGAGGUAACGGCUCACCAAGGCGACGAUGCGUAGCCGACCUGAGAGGGUGAGCGGCCACAUUGGGACUGAGACACGGCCCAGACUCCUACGGGAGGCAGCAGUGGGGAAUAUUGCACAAUGGGGGAAACCCUGAUGCAGCAACGCCGCGUGAGUGAUGACGGUCUUCGGAUUGUAAAGCUCUGUCUUUAGGGACGAUAAUGACGGUACCUAAGGAGGAAGCCACGGCUAACUACGUGCCAGCAGCCGCGGUAACAC